AUGAACGCUAGCUACAGGCUUAACACAUGCAAGUCGAGGGGCAGCAUGGUCUUAGCUUGCUAAGGCUGAUGGCGACCGGCGCACGGGUGAGUAACACGUAUCCAACCUGCCGUCUACUCUUGGCCAGCCUUCUGAAAGGAAGAUUAAUCCAGGAUGGCAUCAUGAGUUCACAUGUCCGCAUGAUUAAAGGUAUUUUCCGGUAGACGAUGGGGAUGCGUUCCAUUAGAUAGUAGGCGGGGUAACGGCCCACCUAGUCAACGAUGGAUAGGGGUUCUGAGAGGAAGGUCCCCCACAUUGGAACUGAGACACGGUCCAAACUCCUACGGGAGGCAGCAGUGAGGAAUAUUGGUCAAUGGGCGAUGGCCUGAACCAGCCAAGUAGCGUGAAGGAUGACUGCCCUAUGGGUUGUAAACUUCUUUUAUAAAGGAAUAAAGUCGGGUAUGCAUACCCGUUUGCAUGUACUUUAUGAAUAAGGAUCGGCUAACUCCGUGCCAGCAGCCGCGGUAAUACGGAGGAUCCGAGCGUUAUCCGGAUUUAUUGGGUUUAAAGGGAGCGUAGAUGGAUGUUUAAGUCAGUUGUGAAAGUUUGCGGCUCAACCGUAAAAUUGCAGUUGAUACUGGAUGUCUUGAGUGCAGUUGAGGCAGGCGGAAUUCGUGGUGUAGCGGUGAAAUGCUUAGAUAUCACGAAGAACUCCGAUUGCGAAGGCAGCCUGCUAAGCUGCAACUGACAUUGAGGCUCGAAAGUGUGGGUAUCAAACAGGAUUAGAUACCCUGGUAGUCCACACGGUAAACGAUGAAUACUCGCUGUUUGCGAUAUACGGCAAGCGGCCAAGCGAAAGCGUUAAGUAUUCCACCUGGGGAGUACGCCGGCAACGGUGAAACUCAAAGGAAUUGACGGGGACCCGCACAAGCAGUGGAUUAUGUGGUUUAAUUCGAAGCAACGCGAAGAACCUUACCAGGUCUUGACAUCUUCUGACAAUUCCAGAGAUGGAACGUUCCCUUCGGGGACAGAAUGACAGGUGGUGCAUGGUUUUCGUCAGCUCGUGUCGUGAGAUGUUGGGUUAAGUCCCGCAACGAGCGCAACCCUUGUUGUCAGUUACUAACAGGUGAUGCUGAGGACUCUGACAAGACUGCCAUCGUAAGAUGUGAGGAAGGUGGGGAUGACGUCAAAUCAGCACGGCCCUUACGUCCGGGGCUACACACGUGUUACAAUGGGGGGUACAGAGGGCCGCUACCACGCGAGUGGAUGCCAAUCCCUAAAACCCCUCUCAGUUCGGACUGGAGUCUGCAACCCGACUCCACGAAGCUGGAUUCGCUAGUAAUCGCGCAUCAGCCACGGCGCGGUGAAUACGUUCCCGGGCCUUGUACACACCGCCCGUCAAGCCAUGGGAGCCGGGGGUACCUGAAGUGCGUAACCGCGAGGAUCGUCCUAGGGUAAAACUGGUGACUGGGGCU
rnacentral:rRNA from 1 species